UCACUUGCGUUUCAGACCGUUAAAUUGGGUCCUAUGAGUGUCUUGUGUGGCGACUUUUAUGGAUUGGCCAUGGCUGGUUUUGGAAUGGCAAAGUUAAUUGUAAUACACAAUGCGUGAGGUGGACGCGUCUGCAAGAAUGCAAGACGACUAAAGCCAUACAGUGGUGGUGUUCCAAAUGCUCCCACCUUUCACCUGGAGAAAGGAACGAAGCUUUAGGUGCAUGUGUAUUUCUUUACCUUUUACAUUACAAUUUUUCUAGCCUACUUGUUCUUUUAAAACGUACAAUCAUAAAUUCACCAUGGCAGCACACGAGACCUGUUCUCCAAGCAUAACCUCCCUCACAUUUUUGACCGCCACCCCAACGUCCCUCUUGACGGCUCGCUGGUCGCACCGCCUCCGCUGUCGCCACCUCACCUUGACGUGUUGAAAGCUAUUGUUCCAUCGGUGCGCCUCCUCAACCCGCACAGACAGGAUGUCGUAUAGCUCCUCCAGACUGGCAUCCAUCACCGCCUGCAGCCGGAAUACCUCCCUGUCCCCCGACAGCAGCACCUUAGUGAUCACGUCGCCAUUGGCCUGGACAACACAGUGCAGCAAGUAUCACACAGGUGCUCAAACGCUUCGCAACUGAAACCAUGGUUACGCACGAGUUGUCGGCAGAGAUGGCUCGGAAUCUGAUUGCCCAACGGGACUUCCUGAGCGUCAGAUACAGAUGCAAACACGUCCCGUUUCUAUGUGGGAGGAGUCCCUGCUCAUUUGGAGGCCAUGCCCAUGGCCAUGCGCCCACAUAAGGACUUUCUGAGAGCAGAGGAGGCCCCUAGCUGCUUCACCUUGGGAGCCUCUGCCAGACAAGACCAACAGCCGUUUGACAUGGCUCCUCCUGGAUGUAAAGCUACUUUUUUUCUGACUCGAAGAAGAGGAGGAGGAGGAGACGUAGGAAUCCUAUUAUGGUACAGCCGCCUGGAAUAAAUCAAUGGGAAGGCCAUCUAAUAACAGUAAAUACCUACUUUGAAAAAGGAAGGCCAGUGUAAGAGUUUCAGCUCUUCCUCUCUUCUAAGAUGUAACAGACGUUCACUGUUUACUAAAUGGCUACUUUAUCUAGAGACUCAAGGUCCAAAGUGGCAUGUGGUGAGCAGCAUAUAUAAGGAGACUGAUGCCGUUGGUCUUCAAAGGAAUAACGUGGUCCCUAUAGGAAUGGAUGUGGUUGUCUUGUUUGUUUGUCGGAAAGUAACAAAUGACUGCUCUGAAAGGGGAAUAAUCUGCUCAGUGGUCAAUGCUGUAAAUUAAAAUAAUAAGUGUGAAUUAUUUUUGAUAAGUAAAUUGUACAAUAUAUCAUGAGAUUGCUUCUAUAGGUUACAUGUUUUGUUUGAAGGACCUACAACAUACAGAACCACAGAAACAAAACUAAAGAAUCCGUUUUUUUUACACAAGCCCUUUCUAAUGAAAUCUUAAACCUAAGUUUUAGUCACACUAAAGCGAUAAGAAGAAAAAAUUAAGAUAUUUUGAUUCUAAUGGAAUAAAGAGAUGAAACAACAAAGAAUUCGAAAUUUGUUUAAACUUGUACUUUUUCUAGUUUCUUUACCAUUAAAAAAUUCAAUAAAUAUUAACAUUUAAAGCUUUCAUUCAUGUACGUAUAUACAAGAACUAUACAAUACACAUUAUAAUGUUAUAAACUGCAAUGCAGCAAAUACUAACUUGAACAAAAACCACAGUAACAUCCACUUUCCGUUGACUUCUGCCAUUUUGAAUGCACUUCCCGAAUACCACUAUGCUUUCCCGUUACAUUGCCUGAUGUUACUUAUUUUUUUCAUAUAACACCGUGAAAUUUACACUAUAUACAAUAUUAUUUAAAAAAUAUAUCAGUUACAAAAAAUUACUAAAGUGUAUUUUAUAAUUAGCUUUUAUACUUAUCUUUUUGAGCAUAUGUGGCUUCCAUCACUGCAAAGGAAGAGCAUGCUACAGUGGGCUUUGCUUGCAAAUGGACUCGAUUCUCAACCAAUGAGGAUGGCCGGUUAUGUUUUCGGGUAAAAAAAAAGAACGAAUGAGCACCAAGAACAGAGAGUUGUUGCAAGGCUCUCUAUCACGAGUGACGCAGGCCCCGCCCCAUUCACAAUACAAUUUCAAUAGUAGUUCUAAUGCACUUGGAAAAAAUGCUCAACAUAACUGUACACGGACACAAACGGAAAUGCUAGCGAUGCAGUCGUCACAUUUUUUGAAACAUGUUUUGUAGUCAUUUCAUUUACAGCACCUUCAUUUAACAACUUCUGUGUUUUCUGUUAGUUUUCAUCUUCCAUUUCAUAUUUGAAGCCGAGAGGGGCAGAGUGAAUGCACUGAGACGACUCUGCUUCUGUUUUCUUUGCUGAGGUAACCAUUACUGGUUUAAGUCCACUGGCAUGGAAAAUAAAAAUAAUAAUUACAAUAAUAAUAAUAAUAAUAAUAAAAAAAAAACGAA